rnacentral:rRNA from 1 species
UACGAAGGGCGCGGGUGUUAUUCGUUUUGAUUGGGUGUAAAAGGUACGUAGGCGGUUCCCAGUUUUAUGGCUAAAAGAGCGGAGUAUUCCUACGCGAUAGCCUAUUAUAAAGGGAUCUUGUGUUGAAGAGAGGUUGGGACAAAUUCUCAAGCAAGGGUAAAAUCUAUCAAUAUGAGAACGAAUGUCGACAGGCGAAGGCAUCUUUCCAUCUUCAACAGACGCUAAGGUACGGAAGCUUAGGGAGCAAACGGG